rnacentral:tRNA from 1 species
UGGGGUUUAGCUCAGUGGUAGAGUACAUGCUUAGCAUAUAUGAGAGCCAGGUUCAGUCCCUAGCACCAA